CGGCUGGGCACGUCUAAAGGGACUGCCGGUGUUAAACCGGAGGAAGGUGGGGAUGACGUCAAGUCCUCAUGGCCUUUAUGACCAGGGCUACACACGUACUACAAUGGCCGAUACAAAGGGCAGCGACACUGCGAAGUGAAGCCAAUCCCGUAAAAUCGGUCUCAGUCCGGAUUGGAGUCUGCAACUCGACUCCAUGAAGUUGGAAUCGCUAGUAAUCGUGGAUCAGCAUGCCACGGUGAAUACGUUCCCGGGCCUU
rnacentral:rRNA from 1 species